UUUCGUUUCAGAGGGCUACAAGCAUAAAAUCAAGCGUGUUUGAUUGGGAUUUGAGAACGCGAGGUUUCUGAUGCAUCAGAUGUUACCAGAUGGAAAACAGUCCUAGAAACAAGAAAGCUUUUAGGAUCCCCUAUCACAUAGCCAGUUCUAGAGCGAUCAAGGAGAGCGUCGUAAGGAGAAAGUCCAAGCUGGGAAGAUGGAAGAAAAAGAUUUUGGUUUUGAUAUCUACGGCUCUGCUGUACUACGACAAGAAAAUAAGUGACGACUCUCUUGAACAGCGAAGUAUUUUGCUGAAGAACAUCGAUUUGAAUCAGAUAAAGGACCCCGUGCAGGUGUCUGGAAG